rnacentral:rRNA from 1 species
AAUGAACGCUGGCGGCAUGCCUUACACAUGCAAGUCGAACGGCAGCAUGACCUAGCUUGCUAGGUUGAUGGCGAGUGGCGAACGGGUGAGUAAUGCAUCGGAACGUGCCUUUUAGUGGGGGAUGACGUAACGAAAGUUACUCCAAUACCGCAUUUUCCCUGAGGAGGAAGGCAGGGGACCUUCGGGCUUGUCGUGGGAAGACCGGCCGACGUCGGAUUUGUUAGUUGGUGAGGUAAAGGCCAACCAAGGCAACGAUCCGUAGCGGGUCUGAGAGGAUGAUACGCCACACUGGGACUGAGACACGGCCAAGACUCCUGCGGGAGGCAGCAGUGGGGAAUUUUGGACAACGGGCGCAAGCCUGAUCCAGCCAUGCCGCGUGAGUGAAGAAGGCCUUCGGGUUGUAAAGCUCUUUCGGCUGGGAAGAAAUCGCACCCUCUAAUACAGAGUGUGGAUGACGGUACCAGCAUAAGAAGCACCGGCUAACUACGUG